rnacentral:rRNA from 1 species
GUCCUGGCCCUAAACGAUGGGUACUAGAUUGUGGGCUUACAUGGGUUCACAGUCGAAGCAAAAGUUUUAAGUACCCCGCCUGGGGAGUAUGGUCGCAAGGCUGAAACUCAAAGGAAUUGACGGGGGCUCACACAAGCGGUGGAGCAUGUGGCUUAAUUCGAGGCUACGCGAAGAACCUUAUCCUGGGCUUGACAUGUGCGAAAGCGGUAGGCAGUAGCGAGCGGAAACGUUUCGCGAAUCCCGCAAGGGAGAACCUACUACAGGUGCUGCAUGGCUGUCGU